GGGAUUGUGGCUCAGUGGUAGAGUGCUCGCCUAGCAUGCAUGAGGCCCUGGGUUCAAACCUCAGCACCA
rnacentral:tRNA from 1 species